CCCAGCUACUCGGGAAGCUGAGGCAGGAGAAUUGCUUGAACCCAGGAGAUGGAGGCUACAGCGAGCUGGGAUCACACCUCUGCACUCCAACCUGGGUGACAGAGGGAGACCCUGUCUCUACAAAGCAAACAAA